CCAAUGGAUUUUAGUUAUAUAAAAAAAAGUGGAUCCAAUGGAUCCAUUUUCGGAUCCAUCAGAUCCAUUUUUUUUUAUAUAACUAAAAUCCAUUGGAUCCAUCAGAUCCAUCAGAUCCAUUUUUUUUUAUAUAACUAAAAUCCAUUGGAU